UGUAAAUAGAAUAGAAUGGCUGCGUAGUGAUCAUCGACUUUGACUUUGAUUUUGAAACGAAACGACCAUUACAGUGCACUACAGCCCAUUGUCAGAUGUACAGUCAUAUUCGAUUUUUUAGUGUCAAAUAAUUUCGAGCAAUUAUAUUUGUUUUGGAAAAUGGGUCGUAAUAGGAAAGUGGAUAUGGAUCCAAUUAAAAGAGCUCGUAUAGAUAAGAUGCUUGAGCAGAGAAAAUGAAUAGGAAUUAGGGAAACUUGUAAUGAGACAACAGGAGAACUUAUCAAUGAUGGAGUGAAACAAACCACGAGUGAGACAACAGAAAAAGUUAUAGAAUAAAGGUAGGCUACUACAUAACAUUUUGUAUUACUCGACAAAGUUUCUUAUAAUAAAUUACAGAUUGACUUGUAAGUAACUAUAGCAUAUAUAACUUUUUUUUUCUCUAGUAGUAAACAAUUCUGUGUAUGUUAAGGAGUAAAACAAACUUUGAGUGAGACAAAAGGAAAACUUAUUAAUAGUACCACACCAUCCAAUUUUUUAUUUCUCGACAAAUUCUGUAACUUUUGUUUCACUAGUAGUUAACAAUUCUUUUUAUCUUAAAGAGCAGUGUUGUCAAAAUCAAAUUGAAAAAAGAUUUUAAUCAAAAUCAAAUCUUUCAACCAAAUUCCCCUAAAUCAAAAUCAAAAAUCAAAUCAAAUCAAAUUUCUAGAACCGAUUUAAAUCGCAAUUUAAAUCAAAAUCAUAAAAAAAUCGAUUUAAAUCGCGAUUUAAAUCAUUUUUAAAUCAAAAUCAAAAUCAAAAUCAUCGGAACAUUUUCUUGCUUAGCAUAUAUUUCAACAGAAUCAUACCUUACAAUUUUUUAUAAAUUUUGAGUAACAACAAGUAUUCUAAAAGCUUGUCGGAAAGACGGUUUCUCCUAGCAGUUAAGACAAGGGAUGCGGCACUGAAAAGUCCUUCUACUGGGUCACUGGACGGCAGAGCGGUAUUGUAACGAAGAAAAACGUUUUUGAUUGCUGGAUGGCGAUCCAGCAUUCCAAUUGUUUUGUCCUUGUCACACAAAUAAAGGUCUACUUCAUCCUUUGUUGGAGAAUCAUUCUCUUCAAAGUUAAACAAUUCGUUGCCCGAUGCCGAGUCCACUUGGCUAUUGCUCCGGGAAAAACUAUUCAUGGCAAUACGGGCAGAAAGUAACUGUAAAUUAAAGUAACAAAAAAUUCUUCUAAAAUUUUCUUAUUAUUAAUACCACUCUCUUUGGCUGAACUAAUUUUUCGUUUUUUAGUUGAAUUAGAAUUUCUUUUCAUGCGUUCUUCUUCAACCUUCUCUAAAAAUACUUUGUAUUCUUUCGGAUGUGAUUUCUAAAAUAGAAAAAUAUUUCAGGAUGGACUGUAUGACAAAAUUGUGGAUUAGCUGGUUUUAAUGUCACUGUCAAGCUGAGCGAUGUGAUCUGUGGUGCUGCAUCCUCUCCUGAAGCCUGUCUGAGCUGUAUUUAUGAUUCCUUUCGAUUCCAAGAACCAGUGGAGUCUGUUAGCCAUCAAUCUUUCGAAGGUUAUUCCCAGGCAGGAGGUGAGUGAUACCGGUCGGCAUGAGUUAGGAUCCUCUGCUGGCUUCCCCUGUUUCAGUAAGGGGAUGGCCACUGCUUUUUUCCAUUGUUCCGGCACGUAUGCGUUGGGCAGGACGGCAUUGAAUAGGUGCCCUAGGUGUCUUCUGUUGGCUGUUGACAGGUUUCUGAUCAUUUUGUUCUGUAUUCGGUCAUUGCCUUCUGCUUUACUCUUUGGCUUUAGGAUGGCUUUAUCAAUCUCUUCCGGUGUGAAGGGGUCGUUCAGGGGGUCGUUGCUAUGUGUAGCUAUUUU
rnacentral:lncRNA from 1 species